CCGUGUGUCAUGUGGCGGAGAAGGCAGGACCCAGACGCAGAGCUUUGGGAAACUAAAAGACUGAUAGUCAAGACUUCAAAUCAAAAAAAGGCCAAGGGAUAAAAAUGCAGACAGGAACCAGGAACCCUCAGACCCCGUUGACACGAUGGGGAAACCUUUGGGCCUUUCAUUUACACAAAAACAGAGGUUUUAUCACGGAAAACGAUCGUUUCUAAAAUCUCCGGCCAAAGUGGAGAUUUCUGAAAACUCAGUGUUUGUGUUUGCGUGUGAACUCGGUCCAACGGAGUUUUAGGUUGUCAAACGUCACAGUAUGCGACUUGUUGUUGGUUUUGAGAAUUCUGAUUGGUUUGCACGUCUUUAUCCUUCUCGUUACACUGCCGACUACAGGUUUGGCGUAGUUAUGAUGGCGCCCGGGGACGUAUUUAUGCGGGUUCAUAUAAACAGAAACUUUUUUGAAAACAGAGGGGCAGAAAUAUUUGUUUCUGUAAAUACUGUAAAUAUGUGUAAAUGUGGCCUCAGACUUGAACUUCCAGAAUAUUCAUCAAUGACGUGACAAGAGACGCACACGGCUUAAAUACACUGGGAGGUGCAGGUGAUUGGACACAGGUGGAAACAAUCAUGACACGCAGCCAAUCACAGGACAAGGCAGGAAGUGAAGUUACCAGUGUUAAUUUUGGAAGCUAUUUUUGAUUUAGUCUUAGUCUUUAGACGAAAAAUGCAUAUUAGUUUUAGUCACAUUUAGUAAUUUUAAUCCUUCUUAGUUUUAGUCUAGUUUUCAUUGACGAAAACUAGACUAAAAUGUAAUUAAUUUUAGUCUAGUUUUAGUCCCAUUUAAUAGCUUUAUUAAACUCCUUUUCUUCCCUUCUAAGGCCCAGGGACCCCCUGUGUUGUGUCUACAGCUGCAUAAUAGUCCAGCUUGCAGUACUUGGUUGUCCAUUAGAUGUCCCUCCUAGGACAGGUCUAUAGAAGUCCCUCAUAGGACAGGUCUAUAGAUGUCCCUCAUAGGACAGGUCUAUAGCAGGUUGGCAAACGUUUUGACUCGCGGCCACAAUGGGUUGUAAAAUGUGACGGAGGAGCCGGGCCAAGAACAAAUGGUGGAAGUGAAAAGAUUUGGAUUUUAACAAAUAGCAAAGCAUUUAUUUGCAAGGCAAUUUAACAAAUUGGCAAAGGUGUAACAACUUCAUGAGGACCAGGGAUCUAAACGCAACACUUAGUUGUCUUUGUUUACUUGCAACGCUUUUGACACGGCCACCUGUCACGUGUGUGGCGCCUCUAUGUUGCUUAGUAACGAACGUACGGUGGCCGAGACGGUUUAACGUCUUCUCACGAUGUGGCGCGUGAACUACAGUAGAAAUGCGCGAAGCUUCAGAACCUGCAACGAGUUUAUUACGUUAGACGCGUUUGUGACGGAGCGUCUCAUCCAGCGAGGAAACGCUGGCUGCCGUCGCCAGAGAACAGAGCAGAAAGGUCCGACAGUCUUUAAACGCGUCUUCAUGUUUCUGUGAAGCAGCGCGGCUUCAGCCUGCUAACAGUCAGCUAACAGGCAGCUAACAGUCAGCUAACAGGCAGCUAACAGUCAGCUAACAGGCAGCUAACAGGCAGCUAACAGCCUGCUAACAGGCAGCUAACCCAAGACAGCCGAGCUAAACUAACGAAGCCACAUUCAAACUCGCCGCAGCGUAAAAUAGUCGUCGCGGUCCGUAGUCGGUGCACAAGAAGCACCGCUGUGCGCGUUCUGGGUUGGUGGAUGACGUCAUCGUGACGCGUUAAUAUCCGCCAUACUUUGCGGUCUGUUGUCUGUCGGCUGCGUGCGAAUUUAGGGGGAAAAAGUAUCGUGACUUUGUCAACCACCAA
ensembl:lncRNA